rnacentral:rRNA from 1 species
AACGAACGCUGGCGGCGUGCUUAACACAUGCAAGUCGAACGCGAAAGGGACUUCGGUCCUGAGUAAAGUGGCGCACGGGUGAGUAACGCGUAGAUAACCUGUCUUCAUGUCUGGAAUAAUACGCCGAAAGGGGUACUAAUACCGGAUAUUCUUGCUUUUCAUAAGUUAUGCAAGCAAAGGUGGCCUCUGCAUAUGCUACUGCAUGAAGAGGGGUCUGCGUACCAUUAGCUAGUAGGUGGGGUAAUGGCCUACCUAGGCGACGAUGGUUAGCGGGUCUGAGAGGAUGAUCCGCCACACUGGCACUGGAACACGGGCCAGACUCCUACGGGAGGCAGCAGUGAGGAAUAUUGCGCAAUGGGGGAAACCCUGACGCAGCGACGCCGCGUGAGUGAAGGAAGGCCUUCGGGUCGUAAAGCUCUGUCAAGAGGAAAGAAGUGUACAAUGGCUAAUACCUGUUGUAUUUGACGGUACCUCUAAAGGAAGCACCGGCUAACCCCGUGCCAGCAGCUGC